rnacentral:rRNA from 1 species
UACGUAGGGGGCAAGCGUUGUCCGGAUUUAUUGGGCGUAAAGAGCGUGUAGGCGGCCAGGUAGGUCAGCUGUGAAAACUCGAGGCUCAACCUCGAGACGCCGAUGGAAACCAUCUAGCUAGAGUCCGGAAGAGGAGAGUGGAAUUCCUGGUGUAGCGGUGAAAUGCGCAGAUAUCAGGAAGAACACCCGUGGCUAAGGCGGCUCUCUAGUACGGUACUGACGCUGAGACGCGAAAGCGUGGGGAGCGAACAGG